AUUUAAUUAUUUUAUUAGAGGGUAUAGCACUGAAUAUCUAAUAUUCAAUUAGAAGGGAGUAUGAAAGUACUUACCUUAGAUAUUUAAUCUCAGAAUAUUUAAUAAAGUGAUUUAAGUUAUCAGACUUAUUGCGAUAAGGUGGUAAGUCGAAAGGGGAACAGCCCAGAAUAAUAUAUAAAGUUCCAAAAUUGUUAUUAAGUGAAAUAAAGG
rnacentral:rRNA from 1 species